UACAGAGGGUGCAAGCGUUAAUCGGAUUUACUGGGCGUAAAGCGCGCGUAGGCGGCUAAUUAAGUCAAAUGUGAAAUCCCCGAGCUUAACUUGGGAAUUGCAUUCGAUACUGGUUAGCUAGAGUGUGGGAGAGGAUGGUAGAAUUCCAGGUGUAGCGAUGAAAUGCGUAGAGAUCUGGAGGAAUACCGAUGGCGAAGGCAGCCAUCUGGCCUAACACUGACGCUGAGGUGCGAAAGCAUGGGGAGCAAACAGGG
rnacentral:rRNA from 1 species